rnacentral:rRNA from 1 species
UACGUAGGGGGCAAGCGUUGUCCGGAAUCAUUGGGCGUAAAGCGCGCGUAGGCGGCCAGAUAAGUCCGGUGUGAAAGUCAAAGGCUCAACCUUUGAAUGCCCGGCUGGAAACUGUCUGGCUAGAGUCCGGGAGGGGCGAGUGGAAUUCCGUGGUGUAGCGGUGAAAUGCGCAGAUAUCAGGAGGAACACCAAUGGCGAAGGCAGCUCGCUGGGGACGUAACUGACGCUGAGACGCGAAAGCGUGGGGAGCGAACAGG